AGAGUUUGAUCCUGGCUCAGGACGAACGCUGGCGGCGUGCCUAACACAUGCAAGUCAAGGGGAAACGGGUAGCAAUAUCCGGAGUACACUGGCGCACGGGUGAGUAACGCGUAGGCAACCUGCCCACAGGACGGGGAUAAUUCAGCGAAAGCUGGACUAAUACCCGAUGAUGCAACGACAUCGCAUGGUGUUGUUGUUAAAAGCCCGCAAGGGUGCCGGUGGAUGGGCCUGCGUCCCAUUAGGUAGUUGGUAGGGUAACGGCCUACCAAGCCUGCGAUGGGUAGCUGGUCUGAGAGGAUGAUCAGCCACACUGGAACUGAGACACGGUCCAGACUCCUACGGGAGGCAGCAGUGAGGAAUAUUGCGCAAUGGCCGAAAGGCUGACGCAGCGACGCCGCGUGAGGGAUGAAGUCCGUUAGGAUGUAAACCUCUUUUGCAGGGGAUGAAUGUCCCGCUAUACGCGGGAUUGACAGUACCCUGCGAAUAAGGAUCGGCUAACUACGUGCCAGCAGCCGCGGUAAUACGUAGGAUCCGAGCGUUGUCCGGAAUUACUGGGUGUAAAGGGCGUGUAGGUGGAUUCCUAAGUCGGUGGUGAAAUCCCGCAGCUUAACUGCGGAAUGGCCUUCGAUACUGGGGAUCUUGAGUGCGGCAGAGGGAGAUGGAAUUCAUGGUGUAGCGGUGAAAUGUGUAGAUAUCAUGAAGAACACCGGUAGCGAAGGCGGUCUCCUGGUCCGCAACUGACACUGAUGCGCGAAAGCGUGGGGAGCAAAC
rnacentral:rRNA from 1 species